rnacentral:rRNA from 1 species
UAGCAUAAUCAUUAGUCUUUUAAUUGAAGGCUCGUAUGAAUGGCUGGACAAAAAGUAAGCUGUCUCGGUUAUAGUAAUUGAAUUUAACUUUUAAGUGAAAAGGCUUAAAUAAUUCAGGGGGACGAUAAGACCCUAUAAAGCUUGACAAUAAUCUUAUUAAAUUAUAAAUUGUUAGUAUAACUUGAUUUUAAUUAGAGUUUGUUUCGUUGGGGCGACGAGAAUAUAAUAAAUAACUGUUCUUUUAAAUAUAAUUACAAAAAUAAUUGGUAAAAUAUUGAUCCUUUAUUAAAGAUUAAAAGAUUAAGUUACUUUAGGGAUAACAGCGUAAUCUUCUUUGAGAGUCCACAUCGACAAGAAGGUUUUCGACAAGAAGGUUU